rnacentral:rRNA from 1 species
UGCAAGUCGAGCGGAUGAAGGGAGCUUGCUCCCUGAUUCAGCGGCGGACGGGUGAGUAAUGCCUAGGAAUCUGCCUGGUAGUGGGGGACAACGUCUCGAAAGGGACGCUAAUACCGCAUACGUCCUACGGGAGAAAGCAGGGGACCUUCGGGCCUUGCGCUAUCAGAUGAGCCUAGGUCGGAUUAGCUAGUUGGUGAGGUAAUGGCUCACCAAGGCGACGAUCCGUAACUGGUCUGAGAGGAUGAUCAGUCACACUGGAACUGAGACACGGUCCAGACUCCUACGGGAGGCAGCAGUGGGGAAUAUUGGACAAUGGGCGAAAGCCUGAUCCAGCCAUGCCGCGUGUGUGAAGAAGGUCUUCGGAUUGUAAAGCACUUUAAGUUGGGAGGAAGGGCAUUAACCUAAUACGUUGGUGUUUUGACGUUACCGACAGAAUAAGCACCGGCUAACUCUGUGCCAGCAGCCGCGGUAAUACAGAGGGUGCAAGCGUUAAUCGGAAUUACUGGGCGUAAAGCGCGCGUAGGUGGUUUGUUAAGU